UCCGCCCCUACCCCCGCCCCGGGGCGUCCUCGGGCGACGGGGCGGUAACGGGAAGAAAUGCGGAAAUUUUUCGUCUUCGCGCAAAAUCGGGGCGGUUGUCGGGCAGGGUGGGGUGGAGGCCGUGAGCUGGAUGGUUUGGGGGAAAGGCUUGCUCGGGUGCUGACAAGUCAUUCUGCUGACUUCUCCCAGCUCAGCUGUUUAAAACACAGUCUGCACACGCAGGAGUAAGCUGAAGGUACAGCUGAAGAUCUGUAGACUUAGAGAAGGUUCGAAACCAUGGAAAGCCUGUGUGCAGCAAAUACCACUUUUGCCCUGGACCUCUUAAGAAAGCUGUGUGAGAAGAAAAGUGGUCAGAAUCU